rnacentral:tRNA from 1 species
GGGCCCGUAGCUCAGCAUGGUAGAGCGGCGGUGGAACCGGCGUAGGUCGUGGGUUCGAAGGGGGAUGGCCCCGAGAGUCCCACCGGGCCCGCCA